UACGGAGGGUGCAAGCGUUGUCCGGAAUCACUGGGCGUAAAGGGCGCGUAGGCGGCUAUGUAAGUCACUUGUGAAAGCCCUGGGCUUAACCUGGGAAUUGCGAUGGAGACUGCAAGGCUAGAAUCUGGCAGAGGGGGGUAGAAUUCCACGUGUAGCAGUGAAAUGCGUAGAGAUGUGGAGGAACACCGAUGGCGAAGGCAGCCCCCUGGGUCAAGAUUGACGCUCAUGCACGAAAGGCGUGGGGAGCAAACAGG
rnacentral:rRNA from 1 species